CUCCCCUCAUUUCUUCGAAAAAUCAAACAACAUUAUCCCACCGCCGCAAAGCCUCCGACGACCUGAAAGCUUCACAUUUUUCCAAGGCUCCGUCGAGUCUCCGGCUACAGGAAAGCGUCACAUUGUCCGGUUCACCUUUUUCGCCGCUUGAUUUCCCCAUUUAUCUCCCAAAUUCCCCUAUUCGCUCGCCGAUUCCCGACAUUUUGACCUUUGCCACCCGAUUAUCCCUCUUCGUUAUCUCAUUCCCCCUCUUCAAAUAUGGCUUCUCCCGGCGCCACCACAACUGACGGCAUGUGUGGGUUCUCUUUGUUGGUCGAGAGGAAGAAGAAAAUCUUUGAGGAUAAAGAAGAUUCAUUGGAUAGAUUUCAAUUGAAAUUUCGAUCAGCAGAUCGGACUGAGGGCGCCUAUAGUAGGAAACCAUGGUGCACAGUUUUGUUCUUCUUCUUUAAUAUUGUAACUAUCUCUGUCUAUAAGUUGGAGAAAUGAAAAAUUGGAUGGUCUUAUGCUUUGGCAAUUUUUUCAAUAUAGUUCCUUCCACAAGUUCAUUUCAUGCCUUGAUGUGAUAAUCAAAAUCUGAUAUCAUAAAUUUUGAUAAAUUGAGAGCGCUUAAUUAUGUGUUUGAAUAAUUCAUGAUAAUUUCCACUGCAGAGUUAGAAGGCAAAUUGUAAAUGUGUGCCUUCAUUUCUAGUGACAGUUGAUUUCCAGAAGCACAUUGAUUUCUCUCUCACAAGUCUAUUUGCUGAUGGAGAUGAGGAAUGUAGUUGUGAUAAUUCUGCUAGCUAAGAAUUACAGUACAUUGGAUUUGAAAGCCAUAGGAACCAAGUCUGUACUUGAGUGAUUUUAUGGAUCUGAACCAUCCCAAAUCAUUGGCAUUGGUAUCCAAAGAAUUAGGGGGUUCCUAAGCCAAUCGGAUGUUGAAACCUGAUUGUGAUGCAGCAACACUGAAUUCUAAAUCUGUGUCCAAGAUAAUAGUCUGUCAGACAACUGCCUAGCCAUCCUGACUGGACCGAAGUUGAGCCAAGAACGAUCAUCUACUGCACAACGAGCCGGAAACCCGGACCCAAGGGGCUGUUAAUCACGCUCUAGCCAGGCAGCUAGGUUCAUCCGCCAGACGUGGUUUCCUGUCUCCUUAGAAAUCAAUGAUACAGAGGUACGAGCCUAUAGAACAGAUCCUGUUCAAGUAAGGUCGUAAAUCUGUGUCCAAGAUAUGUGGUCUUGCAUUGUCCUAUUGUAUAAAUAUGUCUUUGGAUGCACCUUCUGGCCAUUCAGAUAUAAUUGCUGGAAUUAUUUGCAUGCAUAUAGUAAUAGCAUUAAGAAAAUGCAUAUAUUCAAAUAGUCAAGCAUACUUUACCUACCAUUUUCCCAUUUGAUUACCUUAUUAAUCAAACAAUCCUUGAUCACCUCUUUGUUGAUGCUUUGAAAGGCUUUAGUUUUUAUUGUGCAUGCAUCUCUACUCUGGCUCCUCUUUUUUGCUGGUACUUGAACAUUGAAGGGAAAUAUCCCAAUUUUUCCACCAAACAACUCCUCACCAUUAUCAGCAAAUAAGGGACUUGCCACAACACACAUAAACAUGAUUUUUUGAAUGAAAUCCUUAUUUUGACAAGUUCUGUGUGGCUCAUCUUCUCCAGGUGCUAAAUAAAAUCUGCGUGAUGCUUGGGAUAUGUAAAACCAGUUCUCAUAAAUGUAUAUAGUGUUGUUCAUAUUCCUAAACUUGAUUUGGUUGCAUAAAGUUCUAAAGCAUCUAAUGUGAAUCUUAACCUUUGAAGCUUAUGUGGGGCAGUUAAAUCCGGCCUAAUUGUUGAUGUGUGUGCUCUGAUUAGUCCGGCAUUAACCCAUCUCUCUACGGUUGUCUUGCUGCACUUCAAACCCACUGCCAAUGAUCUGAUUAUACCUUGUUUUGUGUAAUGUAGAGUAGAAAGCAAAACUAAAUCAAGAGUAACACGUUUGCACCUUGGUUUUGUUAUUUUGCAGAUGAUUAAGUUGAUUGCUUAAUAUGUGGUUAUUUUAAUUAUUUAGACUUGAAAAUUUAAAUAUGUGGUUAAUUUAAUUAUUUUGGCAAUUGUUUGUUUAUUCA